CGCUGUAGCGCCCCCCACUGGCCGAAUGGGCUGGAUCUUUGUAUCUGAGUAGCGAGCAAGACUACUACCUUUUGACCAAGUUUCAGCUCUCUAGGCCUUACGGUUUGGGCUGCCCGUUCAGUUUUAAGGCGGAAGAAUAAUAAUAAUAAUAAUAAAAAUCCUAACAAUUACAAUAGGGUUUCAGCACUGCGUGCUUGAACCCCUAAUAAAAAUCCUAACAAUUACAAUAGGGUUUCAGCACUGCGUGCUUGAACCCCUAAUAAUUAAAGCUGCAAGCAGCAUUUUACCGGGGUUCAAGCACAUUAAGGCCUCUGAGGUGGUCAGAGCCAACCUGGAUGUUUGGAUGACAUUUAAACACAUCCAAAAUGGAGAACAGGCUAACAGACAGACACACACACUGACAGCAAAUGAUUAGACUAAUAUAUGUAUACUCUAUAAGCAUAUGCACACACACACACACACACACACACACAAAGACACACAUAUACAUGGACACACAUUUUGUUGCAGAUAUAGGUAUUUGAAAUAAGUGAUAGGUGACAAUAAACUUAUUGCAAGUCUUCUCUUUUUUAGAGUUUAGAUGUCAUUUUCAGGUUAAACUGUAAUCAUAAUGUGGCAAAAUUGUAAAAACUGAUACAUCUGUAUGAACAAAAUGGAAAACAUUGAUUCAGUAAGAUUUAAAAUGUUAUAACAGUUAAUUUAUUAAUGUUUUGGCAAGAAUUCAUGAAAACAGUGCUGUUCAACUUAGCUGAAUGAGCCCAUUAGUGGUCUUCCGCUGCCAUCUAGUGGUUAUAAAUUGCAUUUACUCAAACAACCCUGGUUUUAAACAUAACUGUUAUAGUGUUGUUAUUUUUUUUUGCCCAAUCUCUCUUAAAUUGUGCAUGCUUGUUUAGAAUAAAAUUAUGCAUUAUUUUACACAGUUUUGAUAAUUUGUGGGCUUUCUGUUUGUAUUAAUAGGCCUUUGUGUACACUAUGCAAAUAACAUAUUAUAAAAUUAUUGGUUUAUAGUUGCCCAAAUACAAUUGUUCAACAUGUUUUUGAUAAUUAUUGACCUUCAGAGUCUAGAGAAUUGUACUUCAGUGGUUUUAUUAAUUUUCAUCUUAAACCGUAUCACAAGUAUGCCAAAGUAACUUUUUUAAAUAAUCUUGAAUAUUUAAUUAACAGCUUUAUUGACAACAUUGGUCCCAGAGGCAAAGUUGUUCAGAAUGAGGAGAUUUAUCAUAUGAUAUGAAGAUUUAGUGUUUUUGAGUGAAUAUAUGAACAUUUUCAAACAAUUUAAAGCCAUUUACCAUAUAAAUCUUGUGUUUUGAGACCUUUUCUACUGUUAUAGCGCCACCUAUGGUCUGAUCUCCAUGAAACUUUGCAUGCUUGUUAAGAGUCACCUGUUACAUGAUUUCACUGAGUUUCAUAAAGUUUUGAGUUUUCGUUUAGGUUUUAUAGGCUUUGGGGUAUGUUUGGCCACACCCCUUUUUCUAAAUUACCCCGUUACAGCUAACCAAAGGACAAAAUUCAACAUUUUUUAAAUAAUUAUUGAUCUAGAGAGUCCACAGAAUAUUACUGCAGUGGUUUGGUUCCGAUCGGGCAAAAAACCUAGGACUAGUUCGCAAAAGUAGGUUUUUAACAUAUUUGUGAAUAACAAUUGAACGAUUUGAUUGACAGCAAUGGUUCUUGAGGCAAAGUUGUGCAUUACGAGGAGAUCUAUCAAAUUAUAUGCAUAUUGUGUUGAUAUGUGAAACACCACGUGAUUACAGAGCCAUAAAACUCGUUAGCGCCAACUAGUGGCCGAUUUCUUUCAAAAUUCUUACAGACCUUAAGGUUCAUGAGUCGAACGUACCCAGCGAGUUUCGUUCCGAUCAACAUCCGUUAACCCUUUCAAAUAGGUGCUUAAAUUUGUUUGGCCAAUGGCGGCCAUGUUUUUUUGAGAUAUGCAAAUGUCCUCAUAGGUACUUGUGCCCCUUCAG